rnacentral:rRNA from 1 species
GAUGAACGCUGGCGGCGUGCCUAAUUCAUGCAAGUCGAGCGAACGGACGAGAAGCUUGCUUCUCUGAUGUUAGCGGCGGACGGGUGAGUAACACGUGGAUAACCUACCUAUAAGACUGGGAUAACUUCGGGAAACCGUAGCUAAUACCGGAUAAUAUUUUGAACCGCAUGGUUCAAAAGUGAAAGACGGUCUUGCUGUCACUUAUAGAUGGAUCCGCGCUGCAUUAGCUAGUUGGUAAGGUAACGGCUUACCAAGGCAACGAUGCAUAGCCGACCUGAGAGGGUGAUCGGCCACACUGGAACUGAGACACGGUCCAGACUCCUACGGGAGGCAGCAGUAGGGAAUCUUCCGCAAUGGGCGAAAGCCUGACGGAGCAACGCCGCGUGAGUGAUGAAGGUCUUCGGAUCGUAAAACUCUGUUAUUAGGGAAGAACAUAUGUGUAAGUAACUGUGCACAUCUUGACGGUACCUAAUCAGAAAGCCACGGCUAACUACGUG